GAUGAACGCUAGCUACAGGCUUAACACAUGCAAGUCGAGGGACCCGCGCCCGGGUGAGUAACCCGUAUCCCACCUGCCUUUUCCUCGGUGAUAGCCUUUCGAACGAAAGAUUAAUACCCGAUCUCAUGGUUGGGGAUGCGUUCCAUUAGGUUGUUGGUGAGGUAACGGCCCACCAAGCCUUCGAUGGAUAGGGGUUCUGAGAGGAAGGUACCCCACAAUGGAACUGAGACACGGUCCAAACUCCUACGGGAGGGAGCAGUGAGGAAUAUUAGUCAAUGGGCGGUAGCCUGAACCAGCCAAGUAGCGUGAAGGAUGAAGGCUUAUGGGUCGUAAACUUCUUUUAUAGAAGAAUAGGUAUUAUAUGAAGAAGGAUCGGCUAACUCCGUGCCAGCAGCCGCGGUAAUAC
rnacentral:rRNA from 1 species